AGUGAAUAGAUACCCCGGUAGUCCACGCCGUAAACGAUGGAUGCUAGCUGUUAUGAGUAUCGACCCUUGUAGUAGCGAAAGCUAACGCGUUAAGCAUCCCGCCUGUGGAGUACGGUCGCAAGACUAAAACAUAAAGGAAUUGACGGGGACCCGCACAAGCGGUGGAGCGUGUUCUUUAAUUCGAAGGUAAGCGAAGAACCUUACCAGGGCUUGACAUCCUUGGAAUUUCUCCGAAAGGAGAGAGUACUUUAUUGGACCAAGUGACAGGUGUUGCAUGGCCGUCGUCAGCUCGUGUCGUGAGAUGUUUGGUUAAGUCCAUCAACGAGCGCAACCCUUGUGAAUAGUUGGAUUUUUCUAUUCAGACUGCCCCGGUAACGGGGAGGAAGGAGGGGAUGAUGUCAGGUCAUUAUUACCCUUACGUCCUGGGCUAGAAACACGCUACAAUGGCCGGUACAAAGGGCUGCCAAGGCGCGAGCCGGAGCAAAUCCCAUCAAAACCGGUCCCAGUUCGAUAGCAGGCUGAAACUCGCCUGCUUGAAGUCGGAAUCGCUAGUAAC
rnacentral:rRNA from 1 species